UCCUCAGGGCUGCUCCCAGGACCUUUAUGAAACACAAGCAAAUUGUGCCCGACUGCUCUCUGCAUGAACACAAGCAGCAGCUAUGGCUGAGACCUUAAGUUGCAAAUGAUCAGAGUUCACAGGAAGAAGAGCUCUCUCUUCAAG